GACGAACGCUGGCGGCGUGCCUAAUACAUGCAAGUAGAACGCACAGUUUAUACCGUAGCUUGCUACACCAUAGACUGUGAGUUGCGAACGGGUGAGUAACGCGUAGGUAACCUGCCUGGUAGCGGGGGAUAACUAUUGGAAACGAUAGCUAAUACCGCAUAAUAUUAAUUAUUGCAUGAUAAUUAAUUGAAAGGUGCAAUUGCACCACUACCAGAUGGACCUGCGUUGUAUUAGUUAGUAGGUGAGGUAACGGCUCACCUAGGCGACGAUACAUAGCCGACCUGAGAGGGUGAUCGGCCACACUGGGACUGAGACACGGCCCAGACUCCUACGGGAGGCAGCAGUAGGGAAUCUUCGGCAAUGGACGAAAGUCUGACCGAGCAACGCCGCGUGAGUGAAGAAGGUUUUCGGAUCGUAAAGCUCUGUUGUAAGAGAAGAACGGGUGUGAGAGUGGAAAGUUCACACUGUGACGGUAUCUUACCAGAAAGGGACGGCUAACUACGUG
rnacentral:rRNA from 1 species